CCGUCUCGACGACGAAGGCCAUAAUCGAUGUUGUUUCUGACUGGAACAUAUUGUAAAUUGUAGCCAUCUUGACCUUCGACUAAUUCAGGACAAUGACUCAACACACCUCCAGGCUGUGUAAGGGUUAAUUUACCAAGGAGAGUGAUGGAGUGCUGCAUCAGAUGACCUGGCCUCCAUAAUCCCCCGACCUCAACCAAAUUGUGAUGGUUUGGGAUGAGUCGGACCGCAGAGUGAAGGAAAUGUGUGGGAACUCCAUCAAGACUGUUGGAAAAGCAUUUCAGGUGAAGCUGGCUGAGAGAAUCCCAAGAGUGUGCUAAGCUGUCUUCAAGGCAAAGGGUGGCUAUUUAAAGAAUCUCAAAUAUAAAAUAUAUUUUGAUUUGUUGGUUUCUACAUGAUUUCAUGGUUUUGAUGUCUUCACUAUUAUUCUACAAUGUAGAAAAUGGUAAAAAUAAAGAAAAACCCUUGAAUGAGUAGGUCUCCAUAAACGUUUGACCGGUAGUGUGUAGGUUGGAGUUAUUAAAACUCAUUGUUCAACCAAGCCCUGACCUCAAUCCUAUAGACAAUUUGUGGGCAGAACUGAAAAGGCAUGUGCGAGCAAGGCCUACAAACCUGACUCAGUUACACCAGCUCUGUCAGGAGGAAUUUAUUGUGGGAAGCCUGUACCUGAAAUGACCCAAGUUAAACAAUUUAAAGGCAAUGCUACCAAAUACUAAUUGAGUGUAUUUAAACUUCUGACCCACUGGGAAUGUGAUGAAAGAAAUAAAAGCUUAAAUAAA